UGUAUCUGCAUUUAUUAAACUUCUUUCCAAAAUCCUGCAGCCUCAGUACUUUUCUCACUCCUUUACUACCAAUACCAGUUGGCUACUGGGGUUGAUAGCAUUAAGCCCCCUCCCUUUAAAACUGCUUGUCUCCUGCCUAAAUUAGAAGCAACUGUUGUUCUUGUUGAAAUUCAUUAGAGUGGUAAACAAAAUACAUUUCCAGGAUGUUGUCUUGUUCUUGUGUGUUCCAGUCCAAGAUUUCACCUGGGUUUGACUUUGCCUUCAAUCCUUCUCAGAUAAAACAAGUAACGGUCAUGUACUGGGGGUUAAUUGACUAUAUCUUCCUGCCAAACUUCUGGCCAUGUACCCAUGCUAGAAAUCAUGAUUGUUAUUAUUUGUUACCUCAUCAAAGACUAAGUCUUUAAAUCUGCUUAAUUCUUGGCAAUAAUGUCUUAAUUCCAUCCAGGUUGUCUUUUAACUACAUUUAAGCUUCGUCGGGUUGAAAACAAAGCUUUGUCCUGUCUGAAUAGGAAGAAAACAUUACAAACGAGAAUUGUUAGCCGUCUCCAUGUCAACCAAUCAUCUUUCUAUUGUGCCAACAAGGGAGCUUCUACAUGGUCACUUGACCUACUAGAAAUAGCAGCCAAACCUUCAUUAAAUCAUAACAUAUUGUCUUAAAAAAGAUAUUUGAUACAUAUGAAAGAAAAAGACAGGGUGAUGAUAACUGAAAUGCUUUUGGUCAUAGGUGUAGCUCAAUCAGUGAAUAUCUAGGGCUGGGAUUAAACGACUUACUUAUUCUGAUAAAUAAUUUUUUUUUUAAAUUUUGUUUUUUUUUUUGUUUUUUUUUCAACACCAUGGUGUUGUUCUGAAAAAUGAUGAAAACGUAAAUGUAUAUCUUCACUAUUUGAACUUGGACUAAGCUCUUUCAGUAUUUCUAAUUGUGUUAGGGGUUUGGUGUUUAAAACUUAAGUACUACCUUGAAAGUCAAUAGUUUUCCUGUAGUAUUUCAAAAUUAACUUAACUAGUUAAUAAAAGUGUAAGACCACAACAAUAUGUGUGUGUGUGUAUAUAUGUAUGUGUGUGUGU